rnacentral:rRNA from 1 species
GCGGCAGGCUUCAUACAUGCAAGUCGAGGGGCAGCAUAAAUUACUUGUAAUUUGAUGGCGACCGGCGAACGGGUGCGUAACGCGUAUGCAACUUACCUUUUACUAGAGAAUAGCCAAGAGAAAUUUUGAUUAAUGCUCUAUACACUUAUUAAUUCUCAUGAAUCUAUAAGAAAAGCUCCGGCGGUAAAAGAUGGGCAUGCGUCCUAUUAGCUUGUAGGUGAGGUAACGGCUCACCUAAGCUCCGAUAGGUAGGGGUCCUGAGAGGGAGAUCCCCCACACUGGUACUGAGACACGGACCAGACUUCUACGGAAGGCAGCAGUAAGGAAUAUUGGACAAUGGAGGCAACUCUGAUCCAGCCAUGCCGCGUGAAGGAAGACGGCCUUAUGGGUUGUAAACUUCUUUUAUACAGGAAGAAACCUUUCCACGUGUGGAAAGCUGACGGUACUGUAAGAAUAAGGAUCGGCUAACUCCGUGCCAGCAGCCGCGGUAAUACGGAGGAUCCAAGCGUUAUCCGGAAUUAUUGGGUUUAAAGGGUCCGCAGGCUGUUUGUUAAGUCAGAGGUGAAAUCCUACCGCUCAACGGUAGAACUGCCUUUGAUACUGGCAAACUUGAGUUAUUGUGAAGUAGUUAGAAUGUGUAGUGUAGCGGUGAAAUGCAUAGAUAUUACACAGAAUACCGAUUGCGAAAGCAGAUUACUAACAAUAUACUGACGCUGAGGGACGAAAGCGUGGGUAGCGAACAGGAUUAGAUACCCUGGUAGUCCACGCCGUAAACGAUGGUCACUAGCUGUUUGAUGUACAUUGGUACAUUGAGUGGCUAAGCGAAAGUGAUAAGUGACCCACCUGGGGAG